GCGGGAGUGCCCGAAAGGGAAUCGGAACACAGGUGCUGCAUGGCUGUCGUCAGCUCGUGUCGUGAGAUGUUGGGUUAAGUCCCGCAACGAGCGCAACCCUUAUCAUUAGUUGCUACGCAAGGGCACUCUAAUGAGACUGCCGGUGACAAACCGGAGGAAGGUGGGGAUGACGUCAAGUCCUCAUGGCCCUUAUGGGUAGGGCUUCACACGUCAUACAAUGGUCGGUACAGAGGGUUGCCAAGCCGCGAGGUGGAGCCAAUCCCAGAAAGCCGAUCGUAGUCCGGAUUGUUCUCUGCAACUCGAGAGCAUGAAGUCGGAAUCGCUAGUAAUCGCGGAUCAGCAUGUCGCGGUGAAUACGUUCCCGGGUCUUGUACACACCGCCCGUCACACCAUGGGAGUGGAAUCUGCCAGAAGUAGGUAGCCUAACCGCAAGGAGGGCGCUUACCACGGUGGGUUUCAUGACUGGGGUGAAGUCGUAACAAGGUAGCCGUAGGGGAACC
rnacentral:rRNA from 1 species